UUCCUACGGGAGGCAGCAGUGGGGGAUAUUGCACAAUGGGGGAAACCCUGAUGCAGCGACGCCGCGUGGGCGAAGAAGUAUUUCGGUAUGUAAAGCCCUAUCAGCAGGGAAGAAGAAAUGACGGUACCUGACUAAGAAGCCCCGGCUAACUACGUGCCAGCAGCCGCGGUAAUACGUAGGGAGCAAGCGUUAUCCGGAUUUACUGGGUGUAAAGGGAGCGUAGACGGCAUGGCAAGCCAGAUGUGAAAUACCGGGGCUCAACCCCGGGACUGCAUUUGGAACUGUUAAGCUGGAGUGUCGGAGAG
rnacentral:rRNA from 1 species